rnacentral:rRNA from 1 species
UACGGGGGGGGGCAAGCGUUGUUCGGAAUUACUGGGCGUAAAGGGCUCGUAGGCGGCCAACUAAGUCGGAUGUGAAAUCCCCAGGCUUAACCUGGGAACUGCAUCCGAUACUGGAUGGCUUGAAUUCGGGAGAGGGAUGCAGAAUUCCAGGUGUAGCGGUGAAAUGCGUAGAUAUCUGGAGGAAUACCGGUGGCGAAGGCGGCAUCCUGGACCGACAUUGACGCUGAGGAGCGAAAGCUAGGGGGAGCAAACGGG